UUGACCUCAAAUCAGGUAGGACUACCCGCUGAACUUAAGCAUAUCAAUAAGCGGAGGAAAAGAAACUAACAAGGAUUCCCCUAGUAACUGCGAGUGAAGCGGGAAAAGCUCAAAUUUGAAAUCUGGCAGCUCUUUGAACUGUCCGAGUUGUAAUCUAGAGAAGUGUUACCUGUGCUGGACCGUGUACAAGUCUCCUGGAAUGGAGCGUCACAGAGGGUGAGAAUCCCGUCUUUGACACGGACUGCCUGCACGUUAUGGUGCGCUCUCAAAGAGUCGAGUUGUUUGGGAAUGCAGCUCAAAAUGGGUGGUAAAUGCCAUCUAAAGCUAAAUAUUGGCGAGAGACCGAUAGCGAACAAGUACCGUGAGGGAAAGAUGAAAAGAACUUUGGAAAGAGAGUUAAACAGUACGUGAAAUUGCUGAAAGGGAAACGCUUGAAGUCAGUCGCGUCGGCUAGAAAUCAACCUUGCUUUUGCUUGGUGUACUUUCUUGUUGACGGGUCAGCAUCAAUUUUGACCGUUGGAUAAAGUCUUUGGGAAUGUGGCAUCUCAGGAUGUGUUAUAGCCCAUUGUCGCAUACAGCGGUUGGGAUUGAGGAACUCAGCACGCCCGCAAGGGACGGGUUUUUUUGACCACGUUCGUGCUUAGGAUGCUGGCAUAAUGGCUUUAAUCGACCCGUC
rnacentral:rRNA from 1 species